rnacentral:rRNA from 1 species
UACGGGGGGAGCAAGCGUUGUUCGGAUUUACUGGGCGUAAAGGGCGCGUAGGCGGCCAGCACAAGUCAGUUGUGAAAUCUCCGAGCUUAACUCGGAAAGGUCAACUGAUACUGUGCGGCUAGAGUGCGGAAGGGGCAACUCGAAUUCUUGGUGUAGCGGUGAAAUGCGUAGAUAUCAAGAGGAACACCUGCGGCGAAGGCGGGUUGCUGGGCCGACACUGACGCUGAUGCGCGAAAGCUAGGGGAGCGAACGGG